rnacentral:rRNA from 1 species
UACGUAGGGGGCAAGCGUUGUCCGGAAUCAUUGGGCGUAAAGCGCGUGUAGGCGGCUCGAUAAGUCUGCUGUGAAAGUCCAGGGCUCAACCCUGGGAUGCCGGUGGAUACUGUCGAGCUCGAGUCCGGAAGAGGCGAGUGGAAUUCCUGGUGUAGCGGUGAAAUGCGCAGAUAUCUGGAGGAACACCGGUGGCGAAGGCGGCAUCCUGGACCGGCAUUGACGCUGAGGCGCGAAAGCCAGGGGAGCAAACGGG